CAGCAGUCGAGAAUAAUUCACAAUGGGGGCAACCCUGAUGGUGCAACGCCGCGUGGAGGAUGACGGUCUUCGGAUUGUAAACUCCUGUCAUCUGGGAGUAAGACCUGGUCGUUAAUAGCGGACAGGGUUGAUAGUACCAGAAGAGGAAGGGACGGCUAACUUCGUGCCAGCAGCCGCGGUAAUACGAAGGUCCCGAGCGUUGUUCGGAAUCACUGGGCGUAAAGGGAGCGUAGGCGGCGUGGUAAGUCAGAUGUGAAAUCCCGGGGCUCAACCCCGGAACUGCAUCCGAUACUGCCGUGCUAGAGGAUUGGAGAGGUAGCUGGAAUUCUUGGUGUAGCAGUGAAAUGCGUGGAUAUCAAGAGGAACACUCGUGGCGAAAGCGAGCUACUGGACAACUCCUGACGCUGAGGCUCGAAGGCCAGGGUAGCGAAAGGGAUUAGAUACCCCUGUAGUCCUGGCAGUAAACGGUGCACGCUUGGUGUGAGGGGAAUCGACCCCCCUUGUGCCGGAGCAAACGCGUUAAGCGUGCCGCCUGGGAAGUACGGUCGCAAGACUAAAACUCAAAGAAAUUGACGGGGACCCGCACAAGCGGUGGAGUAUGUGGCUUAAUUCGAUGCAACGCGAAGAACCUUACCAAGGCUUGACAUGGAUUUCUAAGCACGUGAAAGCGUGUGACCCUUCGGGGAACUUCCACAGGUGCUGCAUGGCCGUCGUCAGCUCGUGUCGUGAGAUGUUGGGUUAAGUCCCGCAACGAGCGCAACCCUUGUGAUUAGUUGCCAGCACGUUAUGGUGGGAACUCUAAUCAGACUGCCCAGAUCAACUGGGAGGAAGGUGGGGACGACGUCAGGUCAGUAUGGCCCUUACGCCUUGGGCUGCACACGUACUACAAUGCCCAGCACAAUGAGAACCGAUACCGCGAGGUGGAGGAAAUCUAUAAAACUGGGCCCAGUUCGGAUUGGAGGCUGCAACUCGCCUCCAUGAAGUUGGAAUCGCUAGUAAUGGCACAUCAUCUACGGUGCCGUGAAUACGUUCCCGGGCCUUGUACACACCGC
rnacentral:rRNA from 1 species